AACACAGCGGGUGAGGAAAGUCCGGGCUUCACAGAGGCAUGGUAGCUGCUAACAGCAGCCGGGGGCGACCCUAGGGACAGUGCAACAGAAAUAGACCGCCGCAGCAAUGCGGUAAGGAUGGAAAGGCGAGGUAAGAGCUCACCAGCGCAUAGGCGACUAUGCGGCUAUGUAAACCCUACCUGAAGCAACACCCGACCGAAAGCGAUACACAGCCUCGUGUGCUUUCACGGAGGUGGCGUGAGCCCUGCGGCGACGCAGGGACAAGAAAGAUCGUCGUUUAAUACAGAACCCGGCUUACGGGCUGGUC
rnacentral:RNase_P_RNA from 1 species